GUAGGAACACACCUUACACACACCGUACACACACCAUACACACACCAUUCAUGCACACACACACACACACACACCACACCACACACACACACACCUUCAGCCUCUCUCAAGUCAUUGGUAAAGAGGUGAAGGACCAUCAGCCUCUCUCAAGUCAUUGGUAAAGAGGUGAAGGACCAUCAGCCUCUCUCAAGUCAUUGGUAAAGAGGUGAAGGACCAUCAGCCUCUCUCAAGUCAUUGGUAAAGAGGUGAAGGACCAUCAGCCUCUCUCAAGUCAUUGGUAAAGAGGUGAAGGACCAUCAGCCUCUCUCAAGUCAUUGGUAAAGAGGUGAAGGACCAUCAGCCUCUCUCAAGUCAUUGGUAAAGAGGUGAAGGACCAUCAGCCUCUCUCAAGUCAUUGGUAAAGAGGUGAAGGACCAUCAGCCUCCAUCUAUACACAAUGUUUCACAAAAUAUUUUUUGUUUACAUUACAUUUUUAUUUAAAAAAAAAAAAAAAUUUUUUUUUUUUUAUCAAUCUGUCCAUUGACUUCAGUUAACUAGCUAACUGGCUAAAUCUGGCACACAAACUGCAAUGUUGAUUGAUGUUCAAAUGAAAUGAAAUGUAGUUAAAUGUGCUACAAGGGUAGGCAACCCUGGUGGGUUGGAUUAGUUCCUGUUGUAUUCCAGGAACAGGGUUACCUUCCCCUGUACAGAAGAGAAUGUGAGGUAUUAUAAAAUAAUACCAGUUGUAUUUUUUAUAUUUUUCAUACUGUAAAUAAAAACCCUUUAUU